CAAAGGCAUGGUCCCGACCUUAUUAUUAACUCUAACCCAACUUACACAUGCAAGUCUCCGCAACCCAGUGAAUAUGCCCUCAAUCCCCCGCCCGGGGAAGAGGAGCAGGCAUCAGGCACAAAAGUUAGCCCAAAACGCCUAGCCUAGCCACACCCCCAAGGGAAUUCAGCAGUGAUAAACAUUAAGCCAUAAGUGAAAACUUGACUCAGUUAGUGUUAAGAGGGCCGGUAAAAUUCGUGCCAGCCACCGCGGUUAAACGAGAGGCCCUAGUUAAUAAUACAACGGCGUAAAGGGUGGUUAAGAAUAAAUAUAAAUAAAGCCA
rnacentral:rRNA from 1 species